rnacentral:rRNA from 1 species
UACAGAGGGGGCAAGCGUUGUUCGGAAUUACUGGGCGUAAAGGGCUCGUAGGCGGCCAACUAAGUCAUACGUGAAAUCCCUCAGCUUAACUGGGGAACUGCGUGUGAUACUGGAUGGCUUGGAUGUGGGAGAGGGAUGCGGAAUUCCAGGUGUAGCGGUGAAAUGCGUAGAUAUCUGGAGGAACACCGGUGGCGAAGGCGGCAUCCUGGACCAUUAUUGACGCUGAGGAGCGAAAGCCAGGGGAGCAAACGGG